GGGGUGGGAAUACCCCAAACUAUAGUUAGACGAGCGUGGGCGUACGUGAGUGUGCGAAGAGAAAGAAAAAAGUCCGCUGCAUAUCUGCAAGAACUUACAUAGAUCCAUGCGUGUUCAUAUCCGUCUGGUCCCCCGCGACAGCGGCUCAUCAACACGUUCCCACGCUCCCUUCGUGGCUCGUCGCCCUCUGGACUUCAUUUCCCACAAGGCGAGUCACCGGUGCCGGCUCCGGGUAUGCAGCGGGCAGGGCCCCCUCCGAGGUCCGGCCCCGAGCCGAGCGCGGGCCGUCGGCGGAAGUGAGAGCCGGAAGUGCCUUCGGCGUGUGCGGAGGCUGGCGGCUGGCGGCGCUGCCCGCCUCUGACAGGGGCCCGCGGCCGAGAAGUGAAGGGUGUAUUGCAUGCGAAGCACCACCUGUGUGUGCAGAUGAGACCUCCUGUGGUGGGGACCCCAGCACAGCCCUUGCCUGUGUCUGCAGUGUGACCUCAGAGACAGAGCAUGAGCGGGCAAGGAGCAGAGAGAGGGAGACACAGAAU